UACGUAGGGGGCUAGCGUUGUCCGGAUUUAUUGGGCGUAAAGAGCGUGUAGGCGGCCAGGUAGGUCUGGUGUGAAAACUCGAGGCUUAACCUCGAGAUGUCAUCGGAAACCAUCUGGCUAGAGUCCGGAAGAGGAGAGUGGAAUUCCUGGUGUAGCGGUGAAAUGCGCAGAUAUCAGGAAGAACACCAAUGGCGAAGGCAGCUCUCUGGGACGGUACUGACGCUGAGACGCGAAAGCGUGGGAGCGAACAGG
rnacentral:rRNA from 1 species